rnacentral:lncRNA from 1 species
UGGAGCUAAUUUAAAUAAUAGAGGCUAAAAUACAGUGCGCUUCCAAGUUUGAAGGCGUCAUUUGUGACAGCAAAGGAUCGAAGCAGAAAAACCAGUAACACAAGUAUAUGAAACAUAUCACUACUAAAAAGUAAGAACUGUGAUGGGAUCCGCCGCUACAAGACUGUUGGUGGCAACAUUCGCCCUUUUACAUUCCAGUGAAGCACAUCCAUUCCGAACAAAGCAGAUUUCGCUUUAUGAACCUCAUGUCACCAGCAGCAAAAAUUGGGCUACCAGUGAAUUUAAUGUCAAACCUAAUCGGCCCUUGAGCAGAAUACUGCAAACCAGUGUCAGGAAAAAUGUCAGAGAUGUCGGAAGCGACAAAGGUUUCUUGCACCUUAGUCCUUUCUGGAGUUCUUUACAGUCAUUAACACAAGGUGGAAAUACUAUACGUAGAGCAAGAGCUA